rnacentral:rRNA from 1 species
UACGAAGGGGGCUAGCGUUGCUCGGAAUUACUGGGCGUAAAGGGCGCGUAGGCGGACAGUUUAGUCAGAGGUGAAAGCCCAGGGCUCAACCUUGGAAUUGCCUUUGAUACUGGCUGUCUUGAGUUCGGGAGAGGUGAGUGGAAUGCCGAGUGUAGAGGUGAAAUUCGUAGAUAUUCGGCGGAACACCAGUGGCGAAGGCGACUCACUGGCCCGAUACUGACGCUAAGGCGCGAAAGCGUGGGGAGCAAACAGG